AAUGAACUCCCUCCGUCCCAAAAUUCUUGUCUUAGAUUUGUCUAGAUAUGGAUGUAUCUAAUACUAAAACGUGACUUGAUACAUCCGUAUUUAGACAAAUUUAAGACAAGAAUUUUGGGACGGAGGGAGUAGUUG
rfam:Triticum aestivum genome assembly, contig: Triticum_aestivum_CS42_TGACv1_scaffold_030458_1BL